rnacentral:rRNA from 1 species
GACGAACGCUGGCGGCGUGCCUAAUACAUGCAAGUAGAACGCUGAAGGAGGAGCUUGCUCUUCUGGAUGAGUUGCGAACGGGUGAGUAACGCGUAGGUAACCUGCCUGGUAGCGGGGGAUAACUAUUGGAAACGAUAGCUAAUACCGCAUAAGAGUAGAUGUUGCAUGACAUUUGCUUAAAAGGUGCAAUUGCAUCACUACCAGAUGGACCUGCGUUGUAUUAGCUAGUUGGUGGGGUAACGGCUCACCAAGGCGACGAUACAUAGCCGACCUGAGAGGGUGAGCGGCCACACUGGGACUGAGACACGGCCCAGACUCCUAAGGGAGGCAGCAGUAGGGAAUCUUCGGCAAUGGACGGAAGUCUGACCGAGCAACGCCGCGUGAGUGAAGAAGGUUUUCGGAUCGUAAAGCUCUGUUGUAAGAGAAGAACGAGUGUGAGAGUGGAAAGUUCACACUGUGACGGUAUCUUACCAGAAAGGGACGGCUAACUACGUG